AAUCAACGCUGGCGGCGUGCCUAACACAUGCAAGUCGAACGCGAAAGGGGCUUCGGCCCUGAGUAGAGUGGCGAACGGGUGAGUAACACGUGGGUGACCUACCUUCGAAUGGGGGAUAACGUCCCGAAAGGGACGCUAAUACCGCAUAACAUCCUGCCUUUGAACAGGUGGAGAUCAAAGCUGGGGAUCGCAAGACCCGGCGUUUGAAGAGGGGCCCGCGUCCGAUUAGCUAGUUGGUGAGGAAUGGCUCACCAAGGCAACGAUCGGUAACCGGCCUGAGAGGGCGGACGGUCACACUGGGACUGAGACACGGCCCAGACUCCUACGGGAGGCAGCAGUGGGGAAUUGUUCACAAUGGGCGCAAGCCUGAUGACGCAACGCCGCGUGGAGGAUGAAGGUCUUCGGAUUGUAAACUCCUGUUGCUCGGGACGAAAGCUUCGACCUAAUACGUCGAAGUCUGACGGUACCGGGUGA
rnacentral:rRNA from 1 species